AGUGAACGCUGGCGGUAGGCCUAACACAUGCAAGUCGAACGGCAGCACAGUAAGAGCUUGCUCUUACGGGUGGCGAGUGGCGGACGGGUGAGGAAUACAUCGGAAUCUACUUUUUCGUGGGGGAUAACGUAGGGAAACUUACGCUAAUACCGCAUACGACCUACGGGUGAAAGCAGGGGAUCUUCGGACCUUGCGCGAUUGAAUGAGCCGAUGUCGGAUUAGCUAGUUGGCGGGGUAAAGGCCCACCAAGGCGACGAUCCGUAGCUGGUCUGAGAGGAUGAUCAGCCACACUGGAACUGGGACACGGUCCAGACUCCUACGGGAGGCAGCAGUGGGGAAUAUUGGACAAUGGGCGCAAGCCUGAUCCAGCCAUACCGCGUGGGUGAAAGAGGCCUUCGGGUUGUAAAGCCCUUUUGUUGGGAAAGAAAAGCAGCAGGUUAAGACCCCGCUGUUCUGACGGUACCCAAAGAAUAAGCACCGGCUAACUUCGUG
rnacentral:rRNA from 1 species